GAUGAAGAACGCAGUGAAAUGCGAUAAGUAAUGUGAAUUGCAGAAUUCAGUGAAUCAUCGAAUCUUUGAACGCACCUUGCGCUCCUUGGUAUUCCGAGGAGCAUGCCUGUUUGAGUGUCAUUAAAUUCUCAACCUUAUUAGCUUUUGCUGAUAAUGGCUUGGACUUGGGGGUCUUUUUGCUGGCUUUCAUUAGUCUGCUCCCCUUAAAUGUAUUAGCCGGUGCCCCGCAGUGGAACCGUCUAUUGGUGUGAUAAUUAUCUACGCCGUGGACGUCUGCUAUAAUGGGUUUGCGCUGCUUCUAACCGUCUCUCGGGACAACACAAAUGACAAUUUGACCUCAAAUCAGGUAGGACUACCCGCUGAACUUAAGCAUAUCAAUAAGCGGAGGA
rnacentral:misc_RNA from 1 species